GAAGCCUGGGAAACCCCCAGAGGACACAAUGAGCUACCGCCCCAUCUCUCUCCUCUCAACCACUAGCAAGCUUAUGGAAUGGGUGCUGCUCCACCAUUUGUCUGAUAUUAUUGAAGACAUCCUCCCAGUGGAGCAGGCAGGAUUCGCCUGAAGAGGAACUGUUGUGACCAAGUAGCUUCACUUACCAGCCACGUUGAGGCAGGAUUCCAAUGUAAGUUGAAGACACGAAUCACCCUUGUUGAUCUAUCCUCAGCAUAUGACACUGUCUGGAGACAGGGCCUCCACUUCAAGGUCUUCCGCAUCAUUCAGUGCCGACAAAGAUCCACCUCUUGGUGGAGAUGACUGAGGACCGUCACUUUAAGGUAUAUCUUCAUGGCCAGAUCAGUAGACCAAGAACUCUUAACUCAGGCAUCCCUCAGGGCUCUGUCCUGGCCCCAAUACUUUUUAAUUUAUACACCAUGGAUAUACCAGCGACAGAGUCAAGGAAAUUCAUCUAUGUGGAUGAUAUUGCCCUAGCUGUUCAGCUUACAAGCCUCCAUACCAUCAGCUGCACCCAAACCCGAGAUCCUAGCACAAUGGCUGAUUAUUUCCAAUGCUGGAAAUUUAGGCUUAGUAAAAAACAAACAAACAGAAACAUGGUAACUGCUUUCCAUCUGAACAAUAAAAUGGCUAAUACCAAACUUGAUGAGCAGUUCUGUGGUGAGAACUUCAGCCACGAAGCUACUCCAAAGUAUCUUGGUGUUACACUGGACUGGAUAGCAUCAGCUCACCCUU